UCGUGAGAUGUUGGGUUAAGUCCCGCAACGAGCGCAACCCCUAUCCUCAGUAGCCAGCAAGUUGAGUUGGGCACUCUGUGGAGACUGCCAGGGAUAACCUGGAGGAAGGCGGGGAUGACGUCAAAUCAUCAUGCCCCUUAUGAUUUGGGCUACACACGUGCUACAAUGGCGUAAACAAAGGGAAGCGAGAUUGUGAGAUGGAGCAAAUCCCAAAAAUAACGUCCCAGUUCGGACUGUAGUCUGCAACCCGACUACACGAAGCUGGAAUCGCUAGUAAUCGCGGAUCAGAAUGCCGCGGUGAAUACGUUCCCGGGUCUUGUACACACCGCCCGUCACACCAUGGGAGUCAGUAACGCCCGAAGUCAGUGACCUAACUGCAAAGAAGGAGCUGCCGAAGGCGGGACCGAUGACUGGGGUGAAGUCGUAACAAGGUAGCCGUAUCGGAAGGUGCGGCUGGAUCACCUCCUUUCUAAGGAA
rnacentral:rRNA from 1 species